GCUAGGCUUUCGACAUCCGAUCUAACCUCAAUCAAUAUUUUGCCACCUUACACGGUCAAUAUCGCCCUCAACCCGAGACAACGAAAAUAUCCGCGAUGGCUAGUGGUGACAUUCGAGUUUGGGAUCCAAACUAUUCUCCAUCAGAUUAGAAGGCUAAAUUGCAAUUUUCAAUUGGUAAAAUUUGAAUGAAAAUAUCUACUUGAUAUUCCUACUAAAAUUUAUUAUUAUUAUAUAACGUCAGUUUCAGAUACAAUUUUUGUAUGGGAUUUUCUCACCACUUGCAGAAAAAAAGUGAUUUGCAUUCACAUAGAAUACUAAUUUGAUUUGGAAAAGUUAAUUUUCAUUCAUAAUUUACACUUUAAAACUCGUUUUUCCUUCUCAAAAACACAUCAUAAUCUAGGUAGUGCGGACUGAAUCAAAACGGCUGUCAAAAAAGAUCCAAUUGAAAUGUCAAAAAAGAUCCAACGAUGAGGAGUGUUGUUCUUCUUAUGAUAAUCAACACUAUAAAAAAGGUAUUGUUAUCAAAGGCAAAAAUAAUUAAAUUUUUAAAAUGCACGAACUACAUUUUUCCGUCAAUUGUUUAAUUAACCAUUGCAACCUCCAAAAACGAAUAAGCUUAGUUCACUCAAAGAUUUUCAUGUGGGAGCAAAAUUCGACAUUGGCGAAUUUCGUUACGUACAUACAUAGCAAAAAUGAAAUGUCAUAAGGUAUCAAAACAUUUCACUGUGAAAAUGGACGGGACGUAACGUCGGCGAAAACAGUUUUGUUGCUGAAGCUGGGCUUCAUAUAACACCAGAAAGCAAUCAGUGACAAAUUCUUUGCACAGUUAUUACUAUAAAGAACAACCUAUACCUGGAAGCAAUAAAAAGCACUAAUCUUGGAAUAUUCUCGUUGGUGGGAGCCUGUGGAAACGCCUGUGGAAUAUAUUUAUUCAUGGAGUACAAAAAUAUUUGAUCGCCGAUAAUGCUGAUCUGUGCAAAGGGAAUUAGUGUUUUGAAUUCAUCGCUACAGUAUUACGAAGUCGAUCGCCGAGCAUGCCACAUUAGAAACAGUGACAGUUCUUGUGCUUUCAACAUUCUUGAAUUCAAUCAGAUAAAGGACAAAUCGGACGACACAGUAUAUAUACGUGUUGAAUUUGAUCGAAACUGUGUAUACGAACUCUGAGUUAGUUCCAUGAUGUUAGUGUUAGGCUUUCAUUUUUCAAAAGGAUCAAACUACAACAAAGUUUCAAAGAUUCAAAGGAACUAGCUACCUUCAGCAAUACUCAUCUUAACAUUCGAUUUCCUUGAAUGACUAACGAGUUGUCUCAAAGUCUUGAAAGGCAAAUAUCGUUCGGUGUUAGUAUUAGAGAACUUUGUAUCGAUUUUCCAGAACAGUUUCAUCAGUGUCAGUAAAUAAAAUGCAUUGCACGAAGAUUAUGGGAAGUAGUAUUCAUUACAAUGCUUUUGCAGAUUUCCGGCGUAGAGGAAUAAUAUUUUAAUUCAGAUCUUUACAGCAAUUUUAUUCAAGUGUAUUGUAUCAUUGAACGCUUAUCAUUGGAGUUCAUGCAUGAAUAUUAGGCUUUAUUUAUAUUCUAGCAACAUCGUUGUAUCCAGAAAUCAAAUCUGUUAAGUUUCGCCGCUAAUGCGAAAUUAUCAAAACACAUAAAAGUAAUCCAGGAUUCAGGCUAUCCAGCAGUUAAUAUUUUUCUGAAACAAAUGAAGUCAGAGUCACGUAAAUGUUUACUCCUACGAUUUGAAAAUAUUCGAUGAAAAGUGGAACGAAGAGAUGCCAGAUGGUUUUUAAAAAAAGUCUGUAAAAACAUGUGAAUGUCUGUUAAAAAUGUGCAUAUCUGUAGGAAUGUAUUUUAACGUUAAUUUUCACAGAUUCAUUAAUACUUUGUACAUCGCGAUGCACGCAAAAUUGUAUUUUGUAUAUACUAGUUGACCCGGCAAACGUUGUUCUGCUAUAAAAAUUAUUACGCAAAUCAUUCCUUGUAUUCUAUUCCCGAUGUAUUUCAUUUACGAAUCUGACAUGUUUGUUCUCUUGAACGUUAAAUGUAAAGUGAAAAAGAAA